rnacentral:rRNA from 1 species
GGACCAAGGAGUCUAGCAUGUGCGCAAGUCAUUGGGAUAAUAAUAAACCUAAAGGCGUAAUGAAAGUGAAUUAUAUUAUAAAUAUAGAUAUAUAUUUAUAUGUGUUAUAUAUUAUUAUAUUAAGGGAAGAUGGGUAAUGAAUUUUAUAUUAGCCUCGCAUUCCCGGGGCGUCUUUUACUCAUUGCGAGUUAGGCGCACCAAGAGCGUACACGCUGGGACCC